rnacentral:tRNA from 1 species
GGGCAAUUAGCUCAGUUGGUUCAGAGCGUUCGCCUCACACGCGAGAGGUCACUGGUUCGAGCCCAGUAUUGCCCA